GAUGAAGAACGCAGCGAAAUGCGAUAAGUAGUGUGAAUUGCAGAAUUCAGUGAAUCAUCGAAUCUUUGAACGCACAUUGCGCCCCUUGGUAUUCCAUGGGGCAUGCCUGUUCGAGCGUCAUUUGUACCUUCAAGCUCUGCUUGGUGUUGGGUGUUUGUCUCGCCUCUGCGUGUAGACUCGCCUUAAAACAAUUGGCAGCCGGCGUAUUGAUUUCGGAGCGCAGUACAUCUCGCGCUUUGCACUCAUAACGACGACGUCCAAAAGUACAUUUUUACACUCUUGACCUCGGAUCAGGUAGGGAUACCCGCUGAACUUAAGCAUAACAAUAAGCGGAGGA
rnacentral:misc_RNA from 1 species